rnacentral:lncRNA from 1 species
AAUAUUCAUUGUUAAAAACAUGACUUGUUUAGAUGACACUGUCAUACAACAUCCAUGAGCAUGCACAAAAUUAAACCUGACAUACUUAACAUUGACAUGUUCAUAUUACACUAACAAGCUUAAACCUAACAUGCUGAACACCUUCUUAACAUCUUCACUCCUCCUUCUUCUCCUUCAUCAACCUGAUGCGCUCAGAGUGGCGAAUCCCAACGCGGAUGUACUCCUCUACCACAAUUGGCAUGGUCCUGUCGCCAAGCUGUGGGAUUGCAGGCGCCGCCACCAUCGCAAGGUCGUCAUCCGCCACCACCAUAGAAAGGUCGUCGUCCGCCACCACCAUAGCAAGGUCGUCGUCCGCCACCACCAUAGGAAGGUCGUCAUCCGCCACCACCAUAGCAGG